rnacentral:rRNA from 1 species
UGUGUACAGGCCCCGGAACGCAUUCACCGCAGCAUUCUGAUCUGCGAAUACUAAUAACUCCGGCUUCUUGUAGGCGAGUUUCACCCUACAAUCCGAACUGAGAAUGGCUUUAAGGGAUUAGAUCGGCCUCACAACUUGGCUGCCCUCUGUACCACCCAUUGUAUCACGUGUGUAUCCCUAACCACAAGGGGCAUGAUGAUUU